rnacentral:rRNA from 1 species
AUUGAACGCUAGCGGGAUGCCUUACACAUGCAAGUCGAACGGCAGCACGGACUUCGGUCUGGUGGCGAGUGGCGAACGGGUGAGUAAUGUAUCGGAACGUGCCCAGUAGCGGGGGAUAACUACUCGAAAGAGUAGCUAAUACCGCAUACGCCCUACGGGGGAAAGGGGGGGAUCGCAAGACCUCUCACUAUUGGAGCGGCCGAUAUCGGAUUAGCUAGUUGGUGGGGUAAAGGCCCACCAAGGCGACGAUCCGUAGCUGGUUUGAGAGGACGACCAGCCACACUGGGACUGGGACACGGCCCAGACUCCUACGGGAGGCAGCAGUGGGGAAUUUUGGACAAUGGGGGCAACCCUGAUCCAGCCAUCCCGCGUGUGCGAUGAAGGCCUUCGGGUUGUAAAGCACUUUUGGCAGGAAAGAAAUCGCAUGGGUUAAUACCCUGUGUGGAUGACGGUACCUGCAGAAUAAGCACCGGCUAACUACGUGCCAGCCGCCGCGGUAA